rnacentral:misc_RNA from 1 species
AAGAGUAACUUGGUGUUGAGCUGGCCCUAUCGGGCAUGUGCUCGCAUCAUAUUAUUUAUCUAUCUCUUGUGCACCUUUUGUAGUCUUUGAAGUGUUCGCAGUCAAUGCGGUUUGGGGCUUGGGCUUUUGCGGUCCUUUCCCUGUUUGCUUCAAAGGCUAUGUUUUAUACACACUAUUGAAGUUACAGAAUGUCUCUUAUUGACCUUUGAGUCAGUAAAUCAAUA